AGUGAACGCUGGCGGUAUGCCUAACACAUGCAAGUCGAACGGCAGCACAGUAAGAGCUUGCUCUUACGGGUUGCGAGUGGCGGACGGGUGAGGAAUACAUCGGAAUCUACUUUUUCGUGGGGGAUAACGUAGGGAAACUUACGCUAAUACCGCAUACGACCUACGGGUGAAAGCAGGGGAUCUUCGGACCUUGCGCGAUUGAAUGAGCCGAUGUCGGAUUAGCUAGUUGGCGGGGUAAAGGCCCACCAAGGCGACGAUCCGUAGCUGGUCUGAGAGGAUGAUCAGCAACACGGGAACUGAGACACGGUCCAGACUACUACGGGAGGCAGCAGUGGGGAAUAUUGGACAAUGGGCGCAAGCCUGAUCCAGCCAUACCGCGUGGGUGAAGAAGGCCUUCGGGUUGUAAAGCCCUUUUGUUGGGAAAGAAAAGCAGCAGGUUAAUACCCCGCUGUUCUGACGGUACCCAAAGAAUAAGCACCGGCUAACUUCGUG
rnacentral:rRNA from 1 species